AUUGAACGCUGGCGGCAGGCCUAACACAUGCAAGUCGAGCGAGCGGCGGCCGGGUGAGUAAUGUCUGGGAAACUGCCUGAUGGAGGGGGAUAACUACUGGAAACGGUAGCUAAUACCGCAUACCAUCAGAUGUGCCCAGAUGGGAUUAGCUAGUAGGUGGGUUAAAGGCUCACCAAGGCGACGCUCCCUAGCUGUUCUGAGAGGAUGACCAGCCACACUGGAACUGAGACACGGUCCAGACUCCUACGGGAGGCAGCAGUGGGGAAUAUUGGACAAUGGGCGAAAGCCUGAUGCAGCCAUGCCGCGUGUGUGAAGAAGGCCUUAGGAUUGUAAAGCGCUUUAAGCGGGGAGGCGUUACCCGCAGAAGAAGCACCGGCUAACUCCGUGCCAGCAGCCGCGGUAAUUC
rnacentral:rRNA from 1 species